AAGCAGUACACGAAAUGUGUAUGACUCGCUUCUGUGUAAAAAGAAAACAAAGAAACGAGGAGAGAGCGAGUGUAACCAAGCGAAUCUAUAAUGAGAUUUCUGUUUUAUCUCGACUCCUUUAAAGACUCUCUUUUUACACGUUUCGCGCGGUGUGAUACGCACGCGAGACACGGGAUGAGUCACGCGAACACAUAUUAGGAUCUGUGCCAAGGAAUCGAUUGAUAGGGACAAUAAAGCUUAUGAUAGAGCGUACGAUACAUCACCGGUCGGGUGGCGAUCCGUUUGAUACUAAAUUUAUCAAUCGCUGUCUGCUAAGCGAAACUUGUGCACACAAGUGACGGAACCGAAGAGGAACGUGUGUCUAUUUGAACGUGAAAGAUCGUCACUUCACAGUUCCAAUAUGUAGAAACAUUUCGGAUUAUUCAUUUACAGAUUCAAUAGGAAAGCGAUAAAAUGGAAUUAUUAUUGAAAAUAUUAAGUGAUACUAAAAUAUAGAAUUCAG
rnacentral:misc_RNA from 1 species